rnacentral:rRNA from 1 species
AUUGAACGCUGGCGGCAUGCUUUACACAUGCAAGUCGAACGGCAGCGCGGGCUUCGGCCUGGCGGCGAGUGGCGAACGGGUGAGUAAUACAUCGGAACGUGCCCAGUAGUGGGGGAUAGCUCGGCGAAAGCCGGAUUAAUACCGCAUACGACCUGAGGGUGAAAGCGGGGGAUCUUCGGACCUCGCGCUAUUGGAGCGGCCGAUGGCAGAUUAGCUAGUUGGUGGGGUAAAGGCCUACCAAGGCGACGAUCUGUAGCUGGUCUGAGAGGACGACCAGCCACACUGGGACUGAGACACGGCCCAGACUCCUACGGGAGGCAGCAGUGGGGAAUUUUGGACAAUGGGCGAAAGCCUGAUCCAGCAAUGCCGCGUGUGUGAUGAAGGCCUUCGGGUUGUAAAGCACUUUUGGCGGGGACGAAAAGGACUGUGCCAAUACCACGGUUCGAUGACGGUACCCGCAGAAUAAGCACCGGCUAACUACGU